rnacentral:rRNA from 1 species
GACGAACCGUGCGAACGUUGUUCGGAAUCACUGGGCUUAAAGGGCGCGUAGGCGGCUCGCCAAGUCAGGGGUGAAAUCCUCCAGCUCAACUGGAGAAGUGCCUUUGAUACUGGCGGGCUCGAGCGAGGUAGGGGCGGGUGGAACUUCCGGUGGAGCGGUGAAAUGCGCAGAUAUCGGGAGGAACACCAAUGGCGAAGGCAGCUCGCUUGG